AGCCACUGUAGGCCUUAUGAUAGUUUUUGUGAUUACUAAAAACAUCUAAAUUGAUAUUUUUGGAAAAGGAUUUAUCCCACUAAUUUCUCCAGGGACUAGAAGUAAGCAGUGCAGAUUUUUAAAGACUCCUUUUUGAGAGAAUGAGAGAAGACUGGAGCUUUUUGAUCUAGAGAACACCUGAAUUGUAACUAAUCAAAAAAACAGUAUAAUUGGGAUGAGUAAAUUAAUGAAGACAAUCACCUGGGUUGAAAUUAACUGUAAGCUUGGGAAAGUAAGCUUAUAGGUAUGAUCAUCAAGAAAUGCUACUGAGCCAGUGAUCCAAUGGCCAGUGACUGCAGGUGGUUUGUCUCAUGAGGAAACUGGGAGAAUGACUCUGAAGGCAUUGGCUGAAGCAAAAGUAUCCUGAUUUAAUUUCCCGGUAUACUAUUUCCUCUUGAACCGAAAGUUUCCUCUCUGGAUGACUAUUCUCCCUUCGGCCUACUGUUGGAAGUAUCUAAAUCAAUUACCUGGAUAGAGGUAAAAAGGAAUAUGGGGGAAAAAUGCAAAUUCUCUGGUCAAGAGGAUCCUAAUUUGAUGUUUUUAUUAGAGAUAUAAGGUUUGGACUAGUUAUUACCACAUUACCUGGUUAUUGCCAAAGCAAACUUGAAGUGACUAUAUUGAAGUGCAUUAAGAUCUAUUUAUAAGAUAUUUUAACAGAAAUGAGCAUCUCUGCAAGUGAUCCGAACUGAAGAAGCAGAUGCACUAGAAAAAGCUCCUCUGAAAUCCCACCUAGGUCAGAAUGCAUAAGAAGAAAGUCCAGAGGAUUGAGUUAGUAGCUGCUCUCAAAAACCAUACAAUUGUGUAAGGGAAAAAAAAAAUCUACGCGAUGAUGAUGGACUAAUUGAAUGAAGAGUGGGAAUGGGUUACUGAGAAAGAAACUGCACCAUUCAUUGUUCUUUGUAAGAUCUCUGCUAAAAGCGACUGCCCCCAACAACUCUUGUCAAUGCACUGGUCAGUCUCUCCCCCUCUUCUUCUUGUGUUAUUUUCCAUCAUAAACUCCAUGAUUAAAAAUCCUUAAUGAAGUGUUUGUCAUAUCAGUUAGUGAUUCAUGGAGGAAACUGCAUUUCUCAAGUGAAAGGGGAGAAUGAGGAAAAAUUAAUUUUAUUAUAACUAAUUACUAAUUUGCAAUUUACCCUUUUCCUCAUUUCUGUUAAGAUUCAAUUUCUGAAAAGGCCAUUCUCUGAAGAACAUGAAUGAUUAUUAUUCCUAGUUCCCCAAGGCACAUGCUUAUUAAUGAGGUUCCCAAUUGGGAAACCUAAUUUCUGUUUAGAGUGUACAGAAUCCAGUCAAGGUAGACUUUGCCUUGGGGAAGAAUCCCCUGACUUUGAUCCCCUCCAUUAGAGUUUAGGGCAACCCAGCUUAUGAAGGAGAAAACUAACCAGAAAACUCUGGAUUAAAAUGGCUUUUUCUGCCCAGAGGUUUUGAGGCUUCAGGGUCAUGAUCAAACUACAUUCUCAGCAGAAAGAACUGAAGAUUAAAAGUCUACUUUAUUCUUUAUUAUUCUUUUUCUUAUUUUUAUUGAUUGAUUGUUAAUACUUUAUAUUUAUUGUGAUAAUUAUUUUAAAUAUAUUUUAUUUAUUCUUUAUUAAUCUUUAUUAAAUGUCCACUGAUUAACAUUGAAUUUCACUCAUUCCCUGCUGAAAGGCACCCACCUGAUUUAAGGUGAUUCAGAGCCUCCUUUUGGGUCUUUGGUUAUGAGAGAAAUGGCAGACCAUUCAUUUAUUGAGUAUAGGCCAGCCUGGUUAAUAAAUUGAGUAUCAAUUACCAAGAAACUCGGUCACUUGGAGAUUUUAUAUCAUGUUGUCCAGUAACAGGGAUUACAGUUGUAUCAUCAGGUUUGCACCCAAGCUUUUUUCCAAGGUGAACCCACAUUGGUGCUCUAUGCUCACCGUCAAAUUAAAUGGCCCUUGUCCCUCCUCCUUACGUACAAUCAUCUGCACUUCCUAAGGCCCCACUCCAAGAGCUGGUGACCCCCAUCACUGCCCUUUAUGCUUUUUUAAUAUUCUGUAUAUUCCGAUUCAACAAGUCAGAGGGUGGAGCUUCCUUUAAUGACAGAGAAUCACCCUGCCUGAGUCAUGACUUUAUAACAAAGAUUUUUCUGACUUAUACAUUUUGAGAGUGAGGCUUUUCCCCACAAUUAUUCUUAGAAGACCUAUUAUUCAUUCUAAAUUUCUUGACUUUUCCUGGAUAUUUUUACUUCUUCUGUUAGAAUACUAAUUUUAGUCCUAAUGUUCACCCUUAUUUUUCCUUUAAUUCUUUUAUUACCUUCCUGAUUCAUUCUUGAGCUAGAAAUUUUAUUUGUUUUUGAUUAAAAUGGCUUAGAACCUGGAAAAUAGAUCUCCUGAAAGAAACACCUUUGCAAAGUCUGCCCUAAAAAAGCUCUGUUCCAAAUACUGCUGGCCAAGGGCCCAAUUAAAGAUGCCAAGUUCGGGAUUCAAAGAUAUGGAUCAAAAUAGACAAUAUAUGAGAAAUUGUGAUAGAAUUUCCAAGAGAAUAAUGCUUCUGAGAAACAGACAAAUUCCUCAAGCUCUUCUGAGACUCCAGUCCUGGAAGCAUCCUGAUGAAAGAAGUAGUUCUUCAUUUCUCUUCAUCCUUGUUUGAGUUUGGGUCAUUUUUGUACUGAAUCCACAUUUUGAUUUUAUGGACACUCCGGGAUAUAGUAGAAAAUCGAAGGCACUGAUAUCCUAAUUUUUCCCUUUCCUUUUGAGUUCCCCAUACCCAAUAAAAAUUGUAACUCCGGAAAGGUCUUUGAUUGCAUACUGGUACAAUUGUAUUGUAUUCUUAUGUGAUGCUUCCAAGGAAGUAUCACAGAGUGGAACUUAAAAACCAUAUCACAGUAGAUCACAGCUUUGGAGGUGAUCCUUGUUAUUCUACAUUCCAUAAACUGAGAAAUAUACAUAUCCUGUUUCCUAAGGAUAUUUUGUUUUAGAAAUGUUUCCUUGAGUUAAACUGCAUCUAACCCAUUCCUGAUGUUCAUUUAAAUUAUUUGCUGAAGGAUGCUACCUGAAUGUGUAUAUAGAAAAAAUACAUUUUUCCUCUGCUCAGGUAUAGAUUUUUAUCUAAGUCUAUAGGGUUAAAUGAAUAAGGAUCUUAUUCACUUAAUCUUUGGACUCCUGCUUAUCAACCUCAGUGAUUCCAUUUGGUCAGUUCCUAAUUUAAUUCAACACAACUGUAAAAGCUUUAAUUUUUUUUUUUUGCAGUCCAAUUUUUUUAUUGCAGUCAACAACAUUGCAAAUUUAAUAUUCAAUCAUUUGUUAAUGUCAUUAAAAUCAGCAAGAAUAUAUUCUUCAUAGUUUUCUUUAAUUUUUAAAAUUUUAAUUUCUAAUAAUGUAGC
ensembl:lncRNA